ACGACUGACUGAAACAUUCAAAUCAACAAUCACUGAGAAAGCCUCUUGUGAUGACUUUAUUUCUGCCAUGAAGAACAACAAACUUCCAUGCAAUCUGAAUCUGAGUCAACAGAAGCCAUCAAACUGCGCGAAGAAAUCUUGCCCAUCACUCGAAGAGGAAGCUUCGUUCAGGAUUCCUUCUUCCUCGAUGUCCACCAAGAGUUUUACACUGCCAUCAGAGAGGUCCUGAAGAAGUGGGUUAGCGCAGACAGUGAGGACUUCCUUAGUCUAAGUCACAGCGAUAUUCUGGUCCGCUACAGACAGCUUCGAUCCCGUGAAUUGAGGGAAGAAACUCAAGUCUCUAUCGUCACGUCCGACAACACUAGUUACAAGAUCGUGUUGGACGUCCAAGACUUCAUGAAUAGGGAUCUGAAGGUGAAGGUGGUGGGCGAGACGAAGGUGGUGGUAGAAGGACGUGUGGCGAAGAGAGAAGGAAGCUCAUCCGUGUCCUCAUGCUCCUUCCGACGCUGCUUCUCCUUGCCAGAGUAUAUUGACAUGACAAGCAUCACGUGCAUCAUGUCUUCUGACGGCAUACUCACAAUCAUCGCUUCGAAAAUGACAGAAGAAUCGGAAGAAGACAAAGUGGUCAGCUCCAUUGAGGAAGUUCAAGAAUCCUCUGAAGUUCAACGCUCGGUAUCCCCAACUAAUGAAACAAUCUCCCUCCAUGAGGAAUGUGAAAAGGCAAGCAAAGCCACAUAUGACUGCAUGGAUUCUAUGGCAGAAGAUACCAGCAUUGAGUUCGAAGAUGUAAAGACUCCACUCUCUGAAGAAAUGUGUCACUCAGUGAAAUCUGAGACAGCCCAACAGUUCCUUCUGUCGACUGAUUCUGCAGCAACAUCGAGUCAUGAUACUGAUUUCGGCAUUGUAGAAACUCAAAAUCAGAGCAAAGACACUAUUGGCACACUAGAAUCUAUUGUAACUGAAGAAGCGAUGGCUGAUGAUUCAGCUUCUGUGUCUUACUCUGAGUCUGCAGAAAUUACAGAAGCUUCCCUAUGUCGCCGAAGUUCGAUUGGCUUGAAUGAAACGUUUGGUGAUAAUUCUGAAUCACGUGACUUUGGAACUUCCCAGGAUUCUCUUCCUUCUGUCAUUCCCGAAGAAGAAAACGAAUCUGAAACUGUUGGAGUCCUUCAUCUUGAUGACUCCCAACAGGCAAUUGAAAUUCUUGACCUGCAUGACUCACAAGAAUCUGUUAGCAUUCUUGAUGCAAAGGAUUCAGAAGCUGUUGAAAUACUUGAUCUGAAAGACUCACAGGAAUCUGCUGACAUUCUUCAAGUGAAAGGUUCAGAAGCCGUUGAAAUUCUUGAUUUGACAGACUCACAAGAAUCUGUUGACAUUCUUGAUACAAAAGGCUCAGCUGCUGAAAAUCUUGACCUGAAAAGCUCACACGAAUCUGAUGACAUUCUUGAUGUACAAGACCUACAGGAGUCUGCUGACAUUGUUGAGGUGAAAGGUACAGCUGUUGAAAUUCUUGGUCUGACAGACUCACAACAAUCUGUUGACAUUCGUGAUGUGAAAGACUCACAUGAAUCUAUUGACAUUCUUGAAGUGAAAGGCUCAGAAUUUGUAGAAAUUCCUGACCUUAAAGAUUCCCAAGAAUCUACGGAAAUAUUGCAUCAAAAGGAUUCAGAGGAAGCUGCUGAAAUUAUAGAUCUGAAGGAUUCAGAAGCUGUUGAAAUUCUUGAUCUUAAAGAUUCCCAGGAAUCUGUUGGCAUUCUUGAUGUGAAAGAUUCACAGGAAGCUGUUGCUGAGGCUCAGAAUACGUUCAAAACUCAGAACUCAAAGUCUUCAACCAUUUUGGACGAUGUCACUGAGGAUGCCGUACCUGUGCAAGAAAGGUCCAAACCAGUUUCUGAGGAAACGCUCGACAGUAAAAUGAAUCAGUUGGCAGCAACUGAGAGUUGCACAGAUUCCCUUCAGUCAUCUGGAGAUUCUUGUACCUAUGAAAAGGAAGUCAUCGAUACUCUUGGGCAGCUGAAACUUAAAGAGAUGACUGAAACCGUACGUACAGAAGAGUCUACAGAAACUGGUGAAUCCUUGAAAGGAAUGAGAAGCGUUCACAGAGAUUCGCCAGAAGAGCUGUUGCUCAUCACCAAAAGAGGAAACUUCUUCCAAGACUCAUUCUUCCUUGACACUCAGCGAGACUUCAGUGCCGCUCUCAGGCAGGUGUUGGGCAGGUGCAAUGAAGAAAACUUUGAGAACGACAUUAACCUCUGUUACACCGAUAUCCUGGAACGCUACAGACAUCUUCGAUCUCGCGAUCUGAAGGAAGAGAAUCAGGCUGUUAUCGUUACAUCAGACAAGUCUUGUCUAAAGAUAAUUAUGGACGUUUAUGAGUUCAUGAGUGGAGAUAUACAAGCGAAAGGUUGUUGAUGAGAAAGAGUUAGUCAUUGAGGGACGUGUGGUGAAGAGCGAAGGAACCUCAUCCGAGACCUCUCACUCCUUCAGACGCCGCUUCUCUCUUCCGCAAUAUACUGAUAUCACUUCUGUUAUGUCGUUAGAUGGCAUCCUCACAGUUACUGUGAUCUUUAAGGAAGGAAAUGUCGAGCUAAAUACAGCUAAAAAGACUGAAGCAAAAUGCAACAUAACAAAAGAAAUUAUUGACUCAAAAUCACCUUCCCUUUCUGCUGAAAAGCAUGUGCUUGAGGCGAAGGCUGAAAAUCGUGAUAGAUUGAACAAGAAUGUGACAUUACAGUCACAGGAAACUCGUAAUUUCACGUCGGGGACAGAGAGGUCCAAACUUGAUUCCAACUUCGAGGACAAUAGACUGAGACGCUAUGGACGAGGCUAUAACAGGGAGUCUGAAGAAACCAACAGAUAUAACGUCACCGAAGACACAAGUAUGGGAACGUCCUCUCGUUUCUCGAGUGUUUCUCAGUGUAGCUCCGCAUUGAAGUCUUUUCCAGUGACGAGGAAAGGGACUGUUCUUCUCCGAUUACUUUUUCCGAGACACAAGGGAGGAUUUCCAGAAAGCCGUAAGGGAAAUCCUGAACAAAUGGGGAGAG